UCAACAAUACUCCCUCUCGGCUCAUUGGCAGAUGGCCAUGACAAAAAAAUAAUAAGCACUCUCAACAAAGACCACAACAAUUCCAACCAACAUGGCUGACUUUUCUGAAUUCAAUCUUUCGGCCUCUUCCUCAAAAAAGACGAGAAGACAAAAGGAAAAAAGGACUCGGAGUCCACUCUGAAAACUCCCUCUCGGCCAUUUGGUUUUCUUUCUCUCAACUCACAACAUUUCUUCGACACAAAUACACACAAAGAGAAAAACACUCUUCCUCCCCCCAAACUCACAUUCGGCUCCCUCUCUUUUCUCUCAACACACUCGCACGCAACAAAAAAAGGAGGGGCAGCUAUCGGUUAAGGCUUGGAAAUUUCAUCAAAAACUUCAACAGAAAGAUUUCCAUAUUUAUUGAGGGUAAUUUGACUCCAUUUAGCCACCACUUCAAAAGGGAGGUACUCCUAUUAUUAUUUAAAUAUCAAUUACGUCCUCUUAUGUGUUCCUACGUGCUCCUAUGUGUUUAUAUAUUUUUAUAUACUUUGUUAUUUAUUUGAUUCAAAUGUUCAUUCAAAAUUUCUUAUGUUUGUUUAGUUAAUUUUAUAAUUAUUUGAUAGGUGUUUAAAUACUUCAAGAUGUAAUAGAUAGGUAAUAUUUUUGAAAAAUAAUAAUUAGAUAGAUCAAUGUAAUAGAUAGGAUAAAUAUGUUUAUUUUAUCUUUUUUUUUUCAUUUUAGAUUGUAAUUAGGUCCCCUAUUGUAAUAGAUAAAAUACAUAGGUUUAUUUUUUUUUUUAUAUUUUCCCAUUUUAGAUUGUAGUUAGAUUCUCCGUUGUAAUAGGUAAGUUUUGUGUGUUUAUGUGGCUUAAGUUUUAUAUGCUUUACCCGCUUUCCUUAGAAUUUUUGCAUCUAAAUAUUAUACUUACGUGUUAUGUGCUA